CCAAAACACCCUCCACAUGUAAAGCCACCUUUCCACCCCAAACCACCGCAUCACAAGCCACCCCAUGUCAAACCACCGCACAAGCCCCCGUAUGUUCCUAAACCACCUUAUUCCCCAAGCCCUAAACCGCCUUACGUGCCAAAACCACCUCAUACUCCAGUCCCUAGGCCACCAUAUUUCCCCAAACCACCUUACACACCAAGGCCUAAGCCACCAUAUGCGCCAAAACCACCUUAUACGCCAACCCCUAAGCCACCAUAUUUCCCCAAACCACCUUACACACCAAGGCCGAAGCCACCAUAUGUGCCAAAACCACCUUAUACGCCAGCCCCUAAGCCACCAUAUUUUCCCAAACCACCUUACACACCAAGGCCUAAGCCACCAUAUGCACCAAAACCACCUUAUACGCCAACACCUAAGCCACCAUAUUUCCCCAAACCACCUUACACACCAAGGCCUAAGCCACCGUACGUGCCAAAACCACCGUACACACCAAGGCCUAAGCCACCGUACGUGCCAAAACCACCAUACACACCAACCCCUAAGCCACCGUACGUGCCAAAACCACCUUACACCCCAACCCCUAAGCCACCGUACGUGCCAAAACCACCGUAUACCCCAACUCCUAAGCCACCGUACGUCCCAUCGCCACCUUAUACCCCUCGCCCUAAACCACCGUAUGUACCAUCACCACCUUAUACCCCUAGCCCUAAACCACCGUAUGUGCCAUCACCACCAUAUACCCCAAGCCCUACCCCACCAUAUGUACCAUCACCACCGUAUACCCCAAGCCCACCAUAUGUACCAUCACCACCGUAUACCCCAAGCCCUAGCCCACCACCACCACCAAGUGGAACACCGUGUCCUCCGCCGCCGCCACCAAAGGUGAGACCGUACCCUCCACCACCAUCACAAACUUGUCCCAUUGAUACUCUCAAGCUUGGUGCAUGCGUCGACGUGUUGGGCGGUCUAAUACACAUCGGUAUAGGCAGCAGUGCAAAGGACGCUUGCUGCCCCGUGCUGCAGGGGCUACUGGACUUGGAUG
rnacentral:lncRNA from 1 species